UUUAGAUUAUGAUGAAGAAGAUAACUUCAACUUCAUUGGAAGAAGUAAACAUACUUUUCGAAAUCUGAAUGGUGUAAGGGCAGGAAGAUCAUGAUGAUAUUUUUUGUUGCUUUUGUAUAACAAUGUAAUGAUUUGUAUUUUUCUUUUAAAUAAAGUCUAGGUAUUGCAAUUAAGUCUUCUCAUUUGAGUCCCAUUUAAGUUGUUCUUUGGUUUUCGAAUUUCUGUAAAAAAAAAACUUUUCAAAAACAGAUUGUUGGCCUAUAAAGGUCGACGUAACGUACGACGUCGUAAGUAAAUAACGUUAAGCAACUACAGCGCAUGUUUUUGAGUUUGCAAAUAUUUGGUUGACAUUUUAAAAUUUUAGAAUCGUUAUACCCAAUGCUAUCAACCUGGUUUCACCUUUCAGAUUAUAUCCUCAUUCCAUCUGGUCACAAAAAUAGUUUGUUGAUGCUUGAAGGUUACACGUACUCUCAAAUGCAUAGCAAACGUCAUUGGUACUGUUCGAGGAGGAAGAAAACUGGCUGCAGGGCCAGGAUCAAGAUGGACACAGAUCUUGUGACGAUAAUCGAGUCCAUUAAAACACAUAAUCAUGAUCCACCAGAAUAUUAUAAAGGCCCCGCUGGAGAAUAUGUGUUGAUUCGAAAAAAUACGUGAACAUCAAAAGUGGAAUAAACUGCCAAAUGUAAUUUUAACGUUUCUAGUCGUAAUAUAAAUACUCGUAAAAGAAAAAUGUCCUGGAAUUGUAUGUACUGUAAAAAUAAGUUGUGGUUCUACAUUAUAUGAAGCCGAAUUGUUUGGUUUUCGAUCUCAUUUUUAUUUUCAUUUUAUUCUUGCCAUGUUUACCUACUACAUUCGUCCUACGAAUACCCUGAUUAUACGCAUGCUUUUUGGGUAUAUAAAUAUGUCUUUGAUAAAUAUAACCAUCUUCACACAGUCACUAAUUAAUACAAAGACAUAAAUACAUUCGGUUCGCCAAAAAACUGGCAUAAUACGCUGCAGUACUAGGCUACAUUAUGAUGCACAAAUCUUGGAUAAACUGGCGAUAUUGGUCUGUGUAUACUAUUCCAUGAAUUUGCACUGUACAAAGGGCUUUAUUUUCUGAAAAGUUUUCAUUUUAUUAAUUCCCCUUCUUUGAUUGUACGUGAUGUAUAUUUUCAGAUUACAUCCUAAUUCCGUCUGGAUUCAAAAACAAAUUGAUCAUGUAUAGAGGUUACACAUUUGCGAAGGUGCACUACAGAAACUGGUACUGUUCAAGCAAAAAGGGCGGUUGCAAAGCCAAAAUUAAGAUGGAUACCGAUGAAGUGACGAUAGAAUUUGUAAAUAACGUACACAACCAUGAACCUCCGCGGUAUUAUGUGACACAGAGUGGAGAAUACGUUUUUAUUAGAACAAAAAAAUACAUGUUUUAAAAGAAAUAUGUCUGUUACAAAUGACGUAGAGAAAUCGAAGUGACUUCGUGUUUCUAGAAAAAAGCGAGCCAGGUUUUACUAUAUUUUUCAUGCAGAUUAAAAUUGAGAAUUAUUAAGUUUUGUAAUGUUUUACAGUGUUAAAGAGCGUCACAAAGAUUUUUAUUAUAUUAUUGUUUUGUUCUAAAUAUCCUUAUCCUUAUUAUCCUUCUUUCAUUAUAUUAAAUACACAAAGUGUGUAAAGUGCUAUAUAUUAUAGAAUAUUUUUAUCAAAGUGUAAGAAAGAAUUAAAUAUCAAAUGUGCAGAUUAAAUACUUAAUUAAAAAUAAUCUGGAAUUUUCUUUUAACCUUAGCACAAAAGUACGCCUUUCUUAAGUACUACUUACAUAAGAGAUUGAAAAAUCUACUUAAAAUUGUCAAUUUUCAUUACAGACUACAAACUGGUGGACACAGGAAUGAACAAGAGAUUGCUUUUAUAUAAAAACUAUGCGUUUUAUCCAUCAACCAAUUUUCGAUGGUACUGUAAUCAGAGUCAUAAGGGUUGCACCGCUAAAGUUAAUAUCGAUAAAGAUAGUAGAUUGAUCGCGAUUGCCUCUGUGCAUAAUCAUGAACCACCUAGAUAUUGGAUUACUGAUACUGGGAAGUAUGUUUUUAUGAGAGCUAAUUCUCGGUAUAAUUAAUUAUUGUCUCCCUAAACAGCUCUUUUCUACAACAGGUCUUUGAUCUAAGUGUUCUGGUGACUGGUCCACCUUUUUGCCUUAAAUUUCAAUCUACCUAGAGUCCUGCAUUCUAACUGCAUUCUAGCUGUUUCCCACAGUUUCAUCCGUCUUUUUUUAUUGUAAAUGAUCAAAGGACCUCUCUCGCUGUGGGUGCAGCGUGAAGGAGUGUCAGACUCUUAUUGACUGAAUCACUGAAACCGACCGUGUUCCUUCUUAAGCCUUUUAUUUAUAUACCAGGGCCGCUAACUCAUUCGAACAAUCCUGCAGCCCCGGCGGGCCUUGGCCCUGGUGGGCCCCGCUGAGGUCUGUGAAUAAACACUUAGUUUUAUUAUUAAUCAUAAGUAAAUUAUUGUCGUUUUUGUAUGAUACUAAGAAGAAAAAUAUAUUUACCCUAAUAAAAGUGCUGUAUUAACAGUGAAAAUUCGGUUAAAAUACAACCGUAAUAAUAUUAUUAUGUUAGUUGACAUUCCAUUUUAUUCUAGCUUUAAGAUCUACACUACCACUAUUUUUGUGUAUGUACCUAAUAGUACGUAAGUAUUUUUGAAGUAAGUAAAACUUUGAGUUUUGUGUACCAAUACAUAUAAGUUACUCAGAGCAUACUCGCCCGAAAAUUGUCAGUUGAAGUAUUUAUAGGUUAAUAAAAUUCUCACUACAUUAAAUUUUUAUAUUUUUUUCUAGUCCACAAACUGUACCACUUGAAAUAAAAGCUAUAUAUGUACUCACAUGUAAUACCUACCAAUGGAAAUGGAAAAAUAUAUUUAAUUUUAUCUUGCUUCUUUUGGGAAUUAACUCUCUUGCUUGUUCCAGUGUUUUUUUUUUAUAUUUACGGUUGUAAUUAUAUCUAAAGUACCUAUGCGAUGUGUUAUAAAGAUGCAUUUUUCAUUUCUUUCUUGUAGAUAAGGCUUUCUACUUCAAAACAGACCAAGGGAAAUCUUUAGUCAUGUACAAGCAAUAUACAUUUUCUUUUGUAAAUCUGAAUGGACGGACCCUGCGGUGUUCCAGGAAGUACAGGGGCAAAUGUGACGCGAAGAUUGUGAUAAAUAGCAAUGGAGAAGUCAUUGAAAUAACUCCCGAACAUAAUCACCCACCGCCUAUGUAUAGGCAAACGCUUAGCGGAGCGUUUACGAAAAUAUAAAGGUAGAUGCAGCUCCAGAGUGCCUAGUGCGAGUUUUACAAGUUAACUUUUUCGAUUACGAGUUAAUAACAAUAUCGACAGGAAAACAAGUGAUAAUGUACAAAAACCACACAUUUUCGUUCCGAGGCACGAAGAAGAUUCUCGCUUACUGUUCUAGGUACAUUCAGAAAAAAUGCCCAGCUAGACUGCGUUUUGAUAUCAAAGGAAAUAUCUUAUUCGCUGAUUUAGACCACAACCAUCCACCAACGAAAUAUUAUAAAAAUGGGAGCGGAAUUUACUUGAAAAUUUAAAAUUUUGUUGUGUUUAAAUAGGUUAUAAAACAUAAAUUAGUGUGUAGGCAUUAUGUGUAAUGCAGUAAGUAAUAGGCAUUAUGUGGUGAAGGUUAUAAUAAAAUUAGUGCUAGACCGCCUUUGCGCUUAUAAUUUUUGUUCCCGUAAGUACCUUGUGUGAGAGGAGUCAUUCGCUCAUAGUAAUUUCUUAGAAACUGACAGUGACAAAACAUGUCUUGAACGAUAUCUAAGCGUAAAUUAAUUUAGCAAAUAUACCUAUGUAGCUCUAAAUAUGUAAAAUAGGACAGUUUUAGUGUUUAUUAACUUGUUUCAAGAUAUUUUUAUUGAUAUUGUAUUAUACCUUUGAUUAUAAAUAAAAUUGAUUUUGUCAUCAUUUUAUGUUUUACUUUAAAAAUACGUAAACCAUACAGUUGGUGUUGACAUAUCAAGGAAAAUCCAGUUCCUCGGAGCUGGUCUAAGGUAACAGCAGCAAAAACUGCGAGAUGCGUAGGCAGCUCUUAAUGUUAGAUACCUACUAUGUAAGUAUGUACGAUUUACCUUUGUUACUAUACUAUUUACGAAAUGAUCAACCAUGAACCACAAUUAAAACACGAACUAACAAUUACGAUUUCGCAUUACAGAUUACGAGAUCAUCACAGUUUCAGGAAAAACUGUGAUCAUGUACAAAGACUAUACAUUUUCUUUCAAAGGAACGGGAAAGAAAAAUGCCUACUGUUCCAAGUAUGUGAAUAUGAAGUGUCCAGCAAAAAUCAAAUUAGACAAACUAGGUUUGAUCACUUGGGUCAAUACGGACCAUAAUCACCCGCCUCCGAUGUAUUACAAACAUUCAAAUGGUCAAUACAUGAAGCUAUCUUAAAUGGAGAAGUAGCUGUCAUAAGUUUUUUUUCUACUACCAAAAAGUUUUGACCACUGUUUUCAAUGACGUUUCUAUAGACCAUCAGCCUCCGAGCCUUUUUCCCAACUAUGUUGGGGUCGGCUUCCAGUCUAACCGGAUUCAGCUGAGUACCAGUGCUUUGCACUGUUUCCGAUGACGUUUCUAUAGACCCCAUCUUAGAAAUAGGGGUCAUUUUCACGUAGUAUUAGUUUUUGAAGUUUUUCAUUUUCUUGAAAUUGAUUUGUUGACUUUAUUGAAAUUAGGUGAAGGACAAUUUGCAAAUAAUUUGUAAAUAUGUGAAAAGAAGUAGAAAUAACUAAUCACAAUAUGCUACAUAGUACAAGUACAUACCUGUAAUAUAAUGCGUUAUAUGAAUUUAUCGAUAUUAUUAGUGCACAAAUAGUCAUAGAGCCUUAUUAAUAAACACAUAGUAAAGUUAAUCCAAAUUCAAAACGUGUGAACAUGUCUGGAUUCGUUUAUAUAGAUAUUCCUUUCUUUUUCUUUGGUGUAACCGUGUAAUUCUUCGGUGUUUGAUUCGUGUUUGUUAAUAAGAGGGAUUGUGUAAAACUCACUCUUCUUGAAUUAUCCUAUAGUUUGUAAAAGUAAAAAUAAACAUUGAAAGUUCUUUUUGAAACCUUGUAUUAUUUUCCUGGAUACAUUUAAAACUUGGACUUGGUUUAAUUUAAUGAUAUUAAACGCAGUACUACUUAUUUGCAGGUUAGUGUAUUUCUGAGAAUUUAGAAUAAUUAAUUUCAUAUAUUUUAUUUAAUUUGCUACAAGAUUUAUAAACAUUACUAAUGCUUUACAAUAAAUUUUAGAUUUGACGUUAGAAUAUCUGCCGAGCAGUCGUGGUCGGGGUUUCAUACUUAUUUACAAGAACUUUACCUACUUCCACAUGCAUACGAAGACCAGAUGGUACUGCUCUAAGAAGCUGUCAGGCUGUGAUGCUCGGGUGAUCACCAAUAACUUGGGGGAACUAGUCAGAGAAAUGGGGAGUCAUAAUCAUGCCCCACCGCGGUUAUAUAGAACGGCUGAGGGUACACUUUAUCGUUUCAGAACUUAAUUCCGCUAAAUAAAGAGAAUUUAUAGUAAUAAAAAUAUGUUUAUUCGAUCAAAGGUGACUUAAUUUUAGACUGAAUUUAAGUCUUAAACUAAAAAAGAAACGGAAUUAAGACUAAAACUAAACAUUGAUCAAAUGGAAUGCUUUAAAAUUAAUUUUUGGAUUCUCAAUUCAGGAACAAGCUAAAGCCCAAGUUUACUGAUAAUAUAAACAUCAGUUUUCUUUAAACAGCUGUGUGAAUUUUCACGUAGUUUUAUUUUAAAAAACGGACAUUUAUGUGAUCAGAGAAAAUUUGCAUUGGGAUCUUCGUUUAAAAUUAAGUGACGUUUGAGUAUUCGGGCAUUCAAAAGUUUAACUUAAUCUGUUGUCAGUACAUUAUUGUUAAGGAAGAGUUUUAUUGUUAAUACCAAUUUUAAGUCAGUUAUUAUAAUAACUCGAUAUUAAAUAGUUAAUUCAACAGAAUAAUUUUUAAAUUAGUAGAUAAUUCACUUACAUUUUUGAAUGUAACACACAGUUUUACGUAGAUAAAUAAAUGUCAAAUCAUGAUCAUAAUUACAAAUACAAAUAUAGUUAUUGGAACAAAACACAUAGUAAAGAAUACUGUGUCGCAGCCUUUAGCGGCCACCUCCGAGAGAGGAGAAACAAUUAACAAAUACACCUAUAUGUUUUGUAUAAAUAAAAAAACGAAUUAAAUAUUUAAUAUAUUCUUCACUGUUUAUCUAUCUAUAUCAUAUUAUCAGAUCAUAUUAUUAAAGAGUUCCGAAUUUCAAGUUUAACCUCGAUGUUCAAAUGGCUAAGAAUGGCCCGAUGUUUACCUAGUCUCAAAUUAUGUAAAUAAAUAUCAUUAAUGUUAAGAAAAAGUAUCUAUUUCAACAUUGAAUUAAAUAAAUUAUUCUUCUUUAAAGUUAUUUUUAUUUAUUCAAUGCAACUGUAAUAAAAGAUUCACAUGAAUGGAAUGAAGGGUAAAAAAAUAUUCUAUAUUCAUUGGUGUCGCGAAUCGCUUUAGGUCAGGCGGUCUGUCUGCCCCUGUCAUGUAAAAAUAUAAUUAAUUAUUAAAAAAAAUCUAUUCUAACAUAAUUAUUAAUUCCCUGUUCCAACAAAAGAUAUUCAUUUUACAUUAGAUUUUUGGGCAAAAGUCUAUCAUUUUCUACGCCGAAUUAAACGCAAAAAUUGGGUACCUCGCGAAAGCAAAGUCAAAUGUUUUCAUAAAUAAUUAGACCCAUAACAAAUACUUAAGAAACGUCAACAGCUAGGUGCACCACAAAACAAUUCGUUUCCUAUUUAUAGAACUUGACUUGAUCAUCUUUUGUUUGCAGCCCCAGUCCUAAAGUUCGUGCCUUCAAGGCGAGGAGGGCUGAUCCUUAUAUACGAUAACAAUAGAUACGUUCGUAUGGUCGGUAACACUCGCUGGUACUGCUCCAAGAAGAACAAAGGUUGUAAAGCAAGAGUCAUAGUCACGCAAGACAGACAGUUCGUCACUGAGAUUGGUGUCCACAAUCAUGAGCCUGAGAUAAAGUAUCAAGUACAAUAAAGUAUAAUAACUUUCAGUGUGGUAUUUUUUGUGACUGACUGAAGUCUUGUAGUGUGUGUAAUCUAAAAGUGAAAGUGUGUGUGUCCUAAAUAUAAUGAUAUGUGUAUUCCUGUUUGUAACAGGAUUUUUUACAUCUAUUUAGAAUCUGUAACGAAAUGUUAUAUUCGUUAUCUAAGGUAAACGCAAUAAAAUUAAUAAGUAAAAGCGAUUUAUUUCCUUCAAACCUUUUCCAUAGAAUUGCCAUCUACACUCUAGAUUCCAUUAACCAGGUAUUUCAUCUUCCUCUUCUUAUUUCAAGAACCAUUUCUGGAGUUCGUGCCAAGCAAGCGUGGUGGCACCGUGCUUAUCUAUGAAGAUAACACCUUUGUUCAGAUGACGAGCAAGACCAGGUGGUACUGCUCCAAAAAAGGUGCUGGAUGCAAGUGUCAAGUACUCUUGACACCGUUAAGAGAAUUUGUAGGCGUGCUCGGCCAACAUAAUCAUGCGCCCGCCAAAUCUGUUGUUGAAAAUCUGAAGUUUAUGCGGUAUUGAGUUUAGUUAUAGUUUUUGCUGGGCAGAAGUUACUUUAGAUUAUGUAAAAAACUUUUUUUACAAAAAUAUAAAAUCCAUUUGACAAUUUUCCCUUUAGGUUCCUAAAGGCAUAUGAACGGCACGGCACGGCACAGCUGUUGUUAGGUAGCUGAAAGCUCGAUGUCGCCCAGCCGUUGAUUUUUUAUAUUGACGCUAUAAAAUGUUUUAUAUGAGAUACGAUUUAAGGGUCAAAUUUAAAUGGCAUGGUUGUCGCUGCGUUGAAGCUGCGCCGUGCCGUGCUUUUCAUGAGUGCCAUGACCUUUAGUGUGACAAAUACUCUGCGAUGGUCAUAAUCGGUCCAGCCAAACGUGAGAUAAUCGCGCAUAAACAUAGGUACAUGCAUACCGCCUUUUUUUGAAAUCGGUAAAAAAAUAUGAUAUUCUAGAUAUUCUUUAGGUUUAAAUGUUAAGAAAAUUUGACGCAUUUGUUGUAUAAAUCGGAAUCUGUUCGUAUAGCUCGAAUAUCUACAAAUCGAAUACUGUAAUUUUAUAUCUCAACCGUAGGAUUAGGUUUCAUAAUAUGAAUAUUUCAACCCUGAUUAUGUUAUUACAUAAUGCAUGAUGGACUUAAGUUACGCCUAAACUUCGAUACUAAGUUAGCUUUUUUUUGGUUUAGUAUAUUAAAUGAUCGCAAUAAAAGAUAUAUUUGUCCUUUCCAUUUGCAGUUAUUUGUCAUACCAAUUAAAACCUAAUUAUGUGCAGCUGCAAAAAUACUGCGCAACUUUAUACAUAUAAACUUUAACAUUUCUUUUAAAAUACGUAAUGAAGUUGAUAUAUUAUAUUUUAGAUUAUGUUCCCGAGUUUCUCCGUUAUUACCGACAAUAUCGUCGAGCGAAUCCGGAACGGUUCCAGACGAGGCACGAAGAACCACCUGAAAGGAACAAAAACCCAGCUAGCAGGGUCAGCGAUAUUCUUAAUUCGGCUAUUAAUAAAAAACUUCAAUAAUAAAUAUGUUACCAUACCGAAUCACCUACACCAUAGCCUCAAAUUAAUUAAUCUGAAAGAUUCCACCUACAUUCUUCUCCAGAAAGCCGCAAUUCUCAACACCUGUCGUAUCGUCAGAAAGUUCAUGCAGUUGGAUGAACAUGGCAUAACACCUACACACACACAGUAAAUACACACUACACGCUGCAUUUACUUGGCACCCGCCCGUAAAUGCAGUCAAAACUAGCCAAAAGGCUACGAAACAGAAAUGUUUACCCCAAAUAAUAUGUCAAUUAAUAAGAUUUACUGAUGUAUCCAGUUUUUCUCACAUGCAAUAAUAAUGUUAUUAGUAAAUGUAGUCGCUUUGUUUUCGUAUAUAUUUUGAGGGUGCGUUUAAACAACAAACGAUCAAAUAACUUGAGCUAGUGACAGAGCUAGAAAAUUAGCAUUAUUUCCCUAUAAAAUAUUUUAAUGUAAACAGAGCAUUCUAAAGUUGUAUUGGGUUGCCCGGGUAACUGGGUUGAGGGGGUCAGAUAGGGCAUUCGCUCCUUGUAAAGUACUGGUACUCAGCUACAUCCGGUUAGACUGGAAGCCGACCUCAACAUAGUUGGGAAAAGAGCUCGGAGGAUGGAUGGAGAGCAUUCUAAAGGAAUUCGAUAGGCAGGGUUAGAAUGAGCAUUCACGCAUUUGGUUUAAACGCACCCUCAAAAUAGUUGAAUAAAUAAACAAACAAAUAUUUAAAGAAUGUGUUAAAACAAAUUAAUGUUCUAAUACUAACCAUUGAAGAUGCUCAAUAAAUGUUUUGUUAAA